rnacentral:rRNA from 1 species
CMGUGGCAKARACGGCCCAGACUCUACGGGAGGCAGCAGUAGGGAAUCUUCCGCAAUGGACGAAAGUCUGACSGAGCAACGCCGCGUGAGUGAUGAAGGUUUUCGGAUCGUAAAGCUCUGUUGUUAGGGAAGAACAAGUACCGUUCGAAUAGGGCGGUACCUUGACGGUACCUAACCAGAAAGCCACGGCUAACUACGUGCCAGCAGCCGCGGUAAUACGUAGGUGGCAAGCGUUGUCCGGAAUUAUUGGGCGUAAAGGGCUCGCAGGCGGUUUCUUAAGUCUGAUGUGAAAGCCCCCGGCUCAACCGGGGAGGGUCAUUGGAAACUGGGGAACUUGAGUGCAGAAGAGGAGAGUGGAAUUCCACGUGUAGCGGUGAAAUGCGUAGAGAUGUGGAGGAACACCAGUGGCGAAGGCGACUCUCUGGUCUGUAACUGACGCUGAGGAGCGAAAGCGUGGGGAGCGAACAGGAUUAGAUACCCUGGUAGUCCACGCCGUAAACGAUGAGUGCUAAGUGUUAGGGGGUUUCCGCCCCUUAGUGCUGCAGCUAACGCAUUAAGCACUCCGCCUGGGGAGUACGGUCGCAAGACUGAAACUCAAAGGAAUUGACGGGGGCCCGCACAAGCGGUGGAGCAUGUGGUUUAAUUCGAAGCAACGCGAAGAACCUUACCAGGUCUUGACAUCCUCUGACAAUCCUAGAGAUAGGACGUCCCCUUCGGGGGCAGAGUGACAGGUGGUGCAUGGUUGUCGUCAGCUCGUGUCGUGAGAUGUUGGGUUAAGUCCCGCAACGAGCGCAACCCUUGAKCUKAGKUGCCAGCAUUCAGUUGGGCACUCUARGGUGGASUGCCGGUGACAAACCGGAGGAAGGGUGGGGGAUGAYGUCAWAUCAUCAUGCCCCUUAUGACCUGGGCUACACACGUGCUACAAUGGACRGARCAAAGGGCARCCGAAACCKCGASGUURAGSCAAUCMYCACCAAAUCKGUUYSUCAA